rnacentral:rRNA from 1 species
AUGGGUAUAGUAUUGUUGAGAAGUAUAUUUUUUUUUGAUACAGUGACAAGAGGCUCUGUAUCAUCGUCAAGGGACGAUACCAUCAUUGCGUACAAGAAUCAGCAGAGCAGACAACCAACAUCAGCAAAUGACAUGACAAAUACUGUACAACAAAGUAACGCUACGGAAAGCCCCACAGACCAGUCCAAUUGGCCGUCGCAUGCACGCCGACAUCGUACAGAAGCGGAUAUAGAAAGUGGUGGCCAAAAGAAGAAGGGGCGAGGUGUCCUCAAAGGAAUCACGGUCGCCAAGAAGCGAUUCGCCAAUGGUUCCUCAAAGCUUCACAUUGAAUUUUCCAAAACAUUGGGAGGUUCUAUCGGAGAGAACUAUCGUUUGUUUGUGGAUGACGUGGUGGUUUACAUGAAAAGGAAGGCACCACUCAUUGGUGUGAACAAGUGGUCUGCCAUUGAUUCUUCUGUGAAGGAUUCAAUCGUUGCUGAUGUCAUUGCUAAGUGGGAUUUGGAGGACACAUAUUCUACGAAGGGAAAAAUACUAACAAUUGCUAGAGAGCGCUAUAGAGGAUGGCGGUCAACUUUGCAUUCAACAUACAAAGCAUACAGUACUGAUGCUCAAAGAAGGGCCAAUAAACCCGAGGAUGUAACUCCAGAGGAGUGGGAUUAUAUGAUCAAUUAUUUUGGCACUGAUUUAAAAUUCCAGGAGCUUAGCCGAAAAAAUACGGAAAAUCGCCAGAAGCAAAAGGCGAGGCAUAUAGCUGGUUCAAAAUCGUACUCGCAGAUUAGCUAUGAGAAGAGGGAUGAGGAGACUGGGAAGGAACCAACUAUUCUUCAACUUUGGCAGAUCACUCAUACACGAAAUGGAUCGUGGUCUAAUGAAGAAUCACAGACUGUUUAUGACAAUGCACGCAUCCAGAUUAGGGAGAAAGAAGGAGAGAUUGGUGGUCCAAUUUCAAGUGAAGAGCAAAACAAUAUUUUCCAGAAUAGCUACAGAUCUACUAUGGAAAGUACAUCAUUGAAGCCUCGUGGCCGAGGAUACAUGGCUAAGCCGCCUAGCGGUUCUGAAAGACUACAUUCUGAAAUCCAGAGGCAAAAUGCUGAGCUAACCCUCGAGGUUCAUGACUUAAGGAGGCAAAUUGUUGAACAACAGGCAGAGAGGCAAAGAGAACGAGAAGAAGAGCGAGUUGCCAGGGAAAAACAGCUUGAGGAGGAACGUGUAGCAAGGCAGAGAGAACUUGAGGAGGCUAAGCAAGCAAUGAUGCAUGAUAUUAUGAAUGAGGUUAGGCAAUCAAUGAGGUUGGAUGUUGAGCAGAUAUUGGGAACUCGACAGGAAGACGCACAUCAGUUUUCCCAAGCAAGGGACGCUCCAAGAAACGGAACUGGAAAUCGGUCAAGUUCUCUGUUUAAAAAUUCGACCAUGAUUACUCAACACCAGCUUAUGCAAGCAGCUAAACACCAUCGUCGUCCUCCAAGUGAAAAGGAUGGUUUUCUCUAA